UACGGAGGGGGCUAGCGUUGUUCGGAAUUACUGGGCGUAAAGCGCACGUAGGCGGCUUUGUAAGUUAGAGGUGAAAGCCCAGGGCUUAACCCUGGAAUUGCCUUUAAGACUGCAUCGCUAGAAUCGUGGAGAGGUGAGUGGAAUUCCGAGUGUAGAGGUGAAAUUCGUAGAUAUUCGGAAGAACACCAGUGGCGAAGGCGACUCACUGGACACGUAUUGACGCUGAGGUGCGAAAGCGUGGGGAGCGAACAGG
rnacentral:rRNA from 1 species